AAAGAAAAGAAAAGAAAAGAAAAGAAAAGAAAAGAAAAGAAAAGAAAAGAAAAGAAAAGAAAAGAAAAAGACAGCUCAUAUUUAUGACCAAAAGAAGAGGAAUUCCAAGGAAACCUCAGUGCAAAGGAAACUUUGGUGAUAACAACGGAUGUGUUGUGGAUAACGAACAGUAGCUGGUGAGAGAUUAUCCUGACUCUAGUAUUAAAUUAGACUUGGUGCAAAAUAUACCUAUCUUUGAUGUUGAAUUUAAAGCUAGUGUGCUAUCAAAAUCCGGGUAGAGGCUCUGCUGUGUGUUGGGCUGUCACUGAAACUCAAGUGUCCUAUUUGAAUGACUGAACAUUUUGCACACACAGUAGACUUCUUCCUGUGAGUUGAGGGCUUUGUAAAAUUACAUUACAAAAUCAACAUUGACUGUGACACACAUUGAAUCCCUCGUAUGGUGAGCUGAACAGGAUAGCAUGAUGUUGUUUUUCAGCUGCACACUUCAGAGAGAUUGACAUAUAGGGUUCACAGCUAAAGUGGUAAAGUCAUCUGCAACUCUGGCAAUAGCUGGGUUUGCCUGCUAGCCAGGGCCAAAGUCUGGAUCCAUUCAAGUCAGGGCCUCUGCUUCACUUAAAGUAUCAGACGGGCUGAAUAAGGCAGUUGUUAAAUGUUUACAUUUAUCUUCUUCAGCACCCUGCUGUUAACGUAUCAGUGAGUAUCCUGCACUAUUGACCAGGCAAACUGCCUCCUCCGGGUCUGGAGCUGCCGAGACAGGAGUA